rnacentral:lncRNA from 1 species
AGAUAAACUUCCAAGUAAAACAGUUGCUGCUAAAAAGGGUACGUACUUUAUACAUGCUUGUGUUAUUGCAUAAGCUAUAUAGGAAUAAUUGAUGUGAAAGAGAAUCUAAUAUAUUUUUAAACUAUUUGCAUGAGUACUUCACUAUGAAACUUAAGAAUUGCUAAGAUAUCUAUUAGACCAUAUUUUAAGUCCCCCAUACCUCCUACUUUCAAAUGUUUGUUUUUAAGUUUGUAUUUGAGGUAAAACAUGCUAAAAUUGCAGUUUAACAGGCUGGUGAUGGUACACUUCUUUAAUACCAGCACUGGGGAGGCAGGGGCAGGCCUCUGUGAGUUUGACGCCAGCCUGGUCUAGAAGGUGAGUUCAGGAUAGCCUGGGCUAAACAGAGAGUCCCUGUCUAGAACACUCUACCACCCCCUAAAGAAAAAGAAUUGAGUUUAAAGAUUGCCCACCUUAAGAGCUCUUGGCAGCUGAUGACUUCAUAGGGAGGGGUGUCAUUCUUUGAAGGCAAUUCCACUAGUAGGAUUCCUGUGCUCAUAGGAGUGUUAAUUGGAUUUAGUGGGUUAUAAAAACUGAAGUUGGAAGAGGGACAUGUGGAGGCAGAUAUGAGAGAGAUUGAAGAAGGUAAAUAGGGUGGAUAUUAGUAUGUUUCAUUGUAUAAGUAUGUGAAAUUAUCAACAUUAAAUAAUUGUAGGAAAAGAUAGUUUUCCUAUAAAGCUCCUUUGGUAGAUUGGGUAGAAAAUAUGCAUUUAUCUUGAUUCAAUAUUAUGUUAGUUCUCCUUCCUACAGUUAGCAUAUUCCUUUUCUUUUUUAAUUAUAGUUUCUCCCUCCCCACCAUAGACUUUGUUCAUGAAAUGCUGCGUUGCUUCAUUAAUAGUAUACAGUUGUAAACUAUGUAACUUGUUCUUUUUUAAGUUCAGUAUUAGUGCUUUACAUUUAAAAAUAAUAUUUACUUUAAAAAUACAUAUCUAGGUAAGAUAUUAAGCCAUAUGGACUGCUUCCUAAAAGCAAGGAGAUCUAUAGUAUACACCAUUAGAGACAUGUGUAUUGGAUGUAGCAGAACUGAUAAUCAUAAGAGUCUCUUCUAUCUGAAUGCACUAGAACUGUGGGGACAUUAUGCAGAGGAGUAUCUAGGCAGCAUUCUAGGGGCCACCCCUAACAGACUCACUUCAUCUUCAAGACAUGUUGGCCUGUGUAUACAUUUCUUUUUUUGUUUUUUUAUCCAACGUAAUAUUUUUAUUUAUUAUGUGGGAAUUUCACAUAAUGCAUCCCUAUGGCACUCACUUUUCAGUCAGUCCUCCUAGUGUCUACAUUUCUUAUUAACUCUCUCCUCACCUAGCUACCUUUAAGCAGUGAUUGAAAGAAGCAGGUAUAGAAGUCUCUCAGGUUCUGAGUCUGGGUUGUUGUAUUGGCUCUCCAAAGUUCUUCAAGAGGAUUAAUUAAGCUUCAAGACUAUGCACUGGCUUGAUAACUUACCCCUUGACUGACUUUUGCUCUUCAAUGUCUAAAUUCUGUACUUUCUCUCAUCACCUACUAAGUAAAUAUUUAUGCUUGAAUCCAUAUCCUGGGGUCAGUUAGGUUCUGAACUCAAACUAAGACAGAUUCUAUAAUUUCUUUUCAAGACAUCAUUUUUGGGGCUGGAGAGAUGGGUCAGUGGUUAAGAGCACUUGCUAUGGUUGCAGUGCUUAAGAGCAAAAACAUUUAAAAAUAUUUUAAGAGAUUUUUUUCUUUAAGUCUUCAUAUGAGCAUCUUAUAAAAUACUGUGGGACAUAUAUCCCUUCUUGAAAUCUGUCACCAUGUUUCUUUCAUUAAGCUAAUGAGCUCAAGUUUAAUAUUAACUAAAAGACUAGACCAUUUUCCACCUAGCCUAUUUAGUUGUUUCUCUGCUAGUUGGAUGGAGCUAGCAAGAUCUUUCUCUACCUUCUUGAAAUACAAUUAGCAGAUAGUACCUCAAAGAAAAGACACACUACAGCCCUGUCUCCUAAGAACUGAACUGCCUGUGCUAAUCUGAGUUACAGAUAUUAUUAUUCACAUUAUAUUCUGCAGUUCCAAUAUUUUGCAGCAAAAGGCAACCUAUAUUGAUUAGAUAACUGACCCGUAUCUGGUGGGAGGUGUUGAACGUGCCAUAUAACUUCUGCAAACUUGAAAAUGUGACCAGAGAAAACUGUUUUCUAUUGCCCCGUUGUGAUGAACAUGCAUUCCUGCUAGAAGCUGCCUUUGGAUUCCUGUAGUAGAUUUAGUCAUGAGUAAUCAGAAGGAGUAAAGGCCAUAGUCUUCGGCUCCCUCUUCAUGCACAGUUCCUUCUGCUGUUCACCAGUGAGGGGCACUAUGUUUUAUCUCAGCUGGAGACUCAGUUCUGCUUUUCAGUGUAUUAGCAACGUUUUUCAGUUUCUAAUAGGAACCUCUGCCACUCAUUUCAGUCAGUCUAAUACAUUUGUUUUCCGGUCUCAUUUUUAUUGCACAAGUACAAAGUGAUUAUAGUGUUUAUAUGAACCAUAAACACAAGGUUUCUUUUGUAAACAUAAUAGUAAUAAAGUGGUCCUUGUAUCUAUGGAUCUAGGAUUUGCAUGUUUCUUUCCAGAUAAAAAUGCCAAGUCUUGAUUUUAACUACUGGAGGGAAAUGAGUUGCUUUGUAUUUGUUCUAUUUGAGGACAAGAGAACCAAUAAAAUUUUUCCCUCUACUAAAUUAUAUUUAUAAGCUACAACUUAGUGUGUGCUUGUACAUGGGUUAUAUAAUUAGUGUGUCAAAUAUAAUUUUUUGUCAUGAAUAUAUAUUUAAAAGAUGCGGUAUAAUUUCCUUUAAUAUUCUUUGCUUAAACUAUCUCAAUUGAAUUACCUAAAAAUUAAAGUAUGCCAAAUUGAAUAAUACUUGUUUUAUCAUCUAUGGGAUGAUAUUUAUCUUUAUAUUGGCAUCAAGCAGAGAGAAAACAUUUCUUGGUUUAAUGACUACUCAUAUCAGUAAUAAUAUCCACUGCUAUAGAAUUCACACCAGCUUGGUUUGUUGGUAAGUACAUUGCAAUGACCAACUAAAAGGAUGUUUGCUUAAUAGGUAAACCACCUUCAGAUACAGCCCCUAAAGCUAAGAGAGCCCCUAAACAGAAGAAGAUAGUAGAGACUAUAAACUCUGACUCAGACUCUGAAUUUGGCAUUCCAAAGAAGACUACAACACCAAAAGGUGAGGACUGGCUUUGUAUAACUCUUAAAUAUAAGAUAUAAAGAAAAUAUUUCUUUCUUCAAUUUUAUUGAGUUUAGUGACAGGGUACCUACUUUAUUUUAAAUUGGCUCACAUACACAUUGUACCAUACUGCAUUCUAAUGAAUGACAUAGAGCAGUUUAGUACAAUUAGUUGUGAGUUAAAACAUUGACCAGAUUAAAUAAAUAUACUGAAAAUAAGAAAUGAAAAU